GAUGAAGAACGUAGUGAAAUGCGAUAAUUAAUGUGAAUUGCAGAAUUCAGUGAAUCAUCGAGUCUUUGAACGCACAUUGCGCCCCCUGGUAUUCCGGGGGGCAUGCCUGUCCGAGCGUCAUUGCUGCCCUCAAGCACGGCUUGUGUGUUGGGCUUCCGUCCCUGGCAACGGGGACGGGCCCAAAAGGCAGUGGCGGCACCAUGUCUGGUCCUCGAGCGUAUGGGGCUUUGUCACCCGCUCCCGUAGGUCCAGCUGGCAGCUAGCCUCGCAACCAAUCUUUUUAACCAGGUUGACCUCGGAUCAGGUAGGGAUACCCGCUGAACUUAAGCAUAUCAAUAAGCGGAGG
rnacentral:misc_RNA from 1 species